AUACGGAGGGUCCAAGCGUUAUCCGGAAUCAUUGGGUUUAAAGGGUCCGUAGGCGGGAAUCUAAGUCAGUGGUGAAAUCUUGCAGCUCAACUGUAAAAUUGCCAUUGAUACUGGAUUUCUUGAAUUAGUGUGAAGUGGUUAGAAUGUGUAGUGUAGCGGUGAAAUGCAUAGAUAUUACACAGAAUACCAAUUGCGAAGGCAGAUCACUAACACUAUAUUGACGCUAAGGGACGAAAGCGUGGGGAGCGAACAGGAUUAGAAACCCGGGUAGUCC
rnacentral:rRNA from 1 species